CCUUAACUGGUAGUCUGGCCCGUGUAUAUUUUGGCCAUUAACUGGUCUUGGGACACUGUCAGGUGGGCAGUUUGACUGGGGCGGUCGCCUCCUAAAGAGUAACGGAGGCGCCCAAAGGUUCCCUCAGCACGGUCGGAAAUCGUGCGUAGAGUGCAAAGGCAUAAGGGAGCUUGAUUGCGAGACAUACAGGUCGAGCAAGGACGAAAGUCGGGCUUAGUGAUCCGGUGGUUCCGAGUGGAAGGGCCAUCGCUCAACGGAUAAAAGCUACCCCGGGGAUAACAGGCUUAUCUCCCCCAAGAGUCCACAUCGACGGGGAGGUUUGGCACCUCGAUGUCGGCUCAUCACAUCCUGGGGCUGUAGUAGGUCCCAAGGGUUGGGCUGUUCGCCCAUUAAAGUGGUACGCGAGCUGGGUUCAGAACGUCGUGAGACAGUUCGGUCCCUAUCCGUCGCAGGCGUAGGAAAUUUGAGAGGAGCUGUCCUUAGUACGAGAGGACCGGGAUGGACGUACCGCUGGUGCACCAGUUGUUCCGCCAGGAGCAUAGCUGGGUAGCUAAGUACGGAAGGGAUAAGUGCUGAAGGCAUCUAAGCACGAAGCCCCCCUCAAGAUUAGAUUUCCCAUCCGCAAGGAGUAAGACCCCAGAAAGACGAUCUGGUAGAUAGGUCGGAGGUGUAAGUGCAGCAAUGUAUUAAGCUAACCGAUACUAAUAGGUCGAGGGCUUGACCAA
rnacentral:rRNA from 1 species